GACGAACGCUGGCGGCGUGCUUAACACAUGCAAGUCGAACGAAGUGGCGAACGGGUGAGUAACGCGUAAUUAACCUGCCCUUCAGAGGGGGACAACAGUUGGAAACGACUGCUAAUACCGCAUACUGCAGGAGGGGUUUGCGUCGGAUUAGCUAGUUGGAGGGGUAACGGCCCACCACUGCGAUGAUCAGUAGCCUGUCGGAGAGGAGUAACGGACACAUUGGGAGUGAGUCACGGCACAGACUCCUACGGGGGGCAGCAGGGGGGAAUAUUUGGCAUUGGGCGAAAGCCAGAGCCAUCCAUGCAGCGUGUGUGAAGAAGGUCUUCGGAUUGUGUAGCGCUUUUAGUGAGCAGGCCGUACCUACAGAAUAGGAACCGUAUAACUUAGUGCCAGCAGCCGCGGUAAUAC
rnacentral:rRNA from 1 species